UGUUGAUAUUAUAGUUGCGCAGGAACUCUAGGGUACCUCGGACAUAUCGAACAUCCCCGUGGUGGCGACUUUGCAUGCAGAUGUCAUCCAUAUCAACUUUCGAUGCAAGUUUCUGGGCAUACCACGGGGAGUCAGGAUUCCAUUCCGUACAGGGACCCUGAGAAAUGGCUACCACAUGCAAGGAAGGCAGCAGACAUGCAAAUGACCCACUCCCGACGCAGGAAGGUAGUGACGACA